UGCCAUGCACAUAAUUUGUUGGAGCUAAAUUCUCUGCUAGUGUAAACUUGCACAGUUCCACUGCCUGUCAUGGAGCUUCAGCAAUUCAUGCCUGCAAAGAAUUUGGCCCUUGGUCUUUAGUGUUUUACUAGCUUCCCUGACACUACUUAAAUAUGGUGCCUCGGUACAGCUCCUGUUGUCUCCAGAACUCUGCUACAGGCUGGCUGGGCAUUAGUACUUCAAGCACUAGCCCACAGGGUUCACUCUUUAUUACCUUAUCAAAUGAACAAAAUUUCCAUAAUAAGUCUUCCUGUACUGCAGAUAAAAUAGCAAACAAACAUUUGGGUGAGUUAAAAAAAAAAGCUGACUAAAUGCAGGAAGAUCCUUUUUUUUUAUUCUACCAAUAUUGCUUCCUUUGCUUAUUAGUAGCCCAAAGGAAAUGCUAGUUCAGAAGGAGCCAGGGGAGCAGUUAGCAGCUUCUUGCUAGAUCUUCAGUAUCUCUGCUGCACAGGCUAGAUGAUGCUGUAAGAAUGUGUGACUCAUACAGCUCAUCAUGAUUGAAAACUCCUCUGAUGCCAGUAGAAAUGUACUUAAAACCUUUCAUUUGCAGGGUAAAAAGAGAGUGGCGAUGACAUUUUUCUUCUGUACAUUAACCCUGUUUUCAAAUCAAAGGGGCCCCAAGCUGCAGUAGCAACAGGGUGCUUGCAAUGUAGCUGGUUGUGACAAGGCAGCUGACAAGCCUUCCGCAUUCCACAGCUUGAUUAUUAAUAUGAAUAACUAAUGACUCACGCUGCCACUACUGAGGCCGGGAAACUUUCUGUAACUGAAGAGUUAUAAAAUGUUAUUCUCCCACAGCACCAGCGCCAAAUCGAUGAGUGAUCUCUUUACAGUUUUGCAUUCAUUUCAAACAGAAUAUGCAUGUCCCUGCACACAUGGCUUGAAACAGUCAGAAGAUUGGUGUUUAGGGGAAAGAGUUCAGUUGUAUCAGGCUAUUUAGGGGGCUGUCUGCAAGAAUGCAGAGACAUUUCUCACACUAGUCCACUUGCUUACUAAUAUGAAUAACUAAUGAUUAAAGCAUCUGAUUUACCGAGGGCUGUGAGAUUAUUAGACCAGGCUUGUGAAACUUCUUUGUCACUGUCUGGAAAAGUCAGACUUCUCUGGAUGUUGCAGUUUAAUUUUUUUCCCCUCCUCAGAGGAUGUGGUAUGGCUUCAGCCAAUAAUUCAGAAUCGUCAGAGAGUGACACGGCAUCAAAAGCAACACUAAAUGUACUGAUCCUCUUCUUCGCCUGGGCUAUGUGAGUUGCAACUACCUUUAAGCAAGUUUCUGAGCUUUUCUUACUUGUUUCCAGUGAACAUGCUUCUUCCUUUACCCAGACUGACAAAGUAGCAAAAAUGAGACAGCAUCACGCUCUGCUGGCUCAGCUGCAAUUUGCAUGGUGCUGUCGGCCUAUUUCCUUGCUUGAUGCUUGAGUGUGACUGAUGAUACAAGUCUCAACACAGAGCUGGGAACAGCAUCAGAUCACCAAGUAAGAGAAGCUUCCACAAGGAGCCCUAGUAACUCAAUGCUAUAAAAUGCAGCAAUGAUUCCAGUCUUAAGGUUAUCUGGCAAUGUACAAAAGAAAGGAAGAUGCUGAAGAAUUUCUCACAAUGACAAUCCCUGCCCCAAGGAGUUUAUGAAAAUACUACUAUGGUCACUGCAUUCUAAUUAAGAUUGGUCUCUGCUAGAUUUUUUAAAUCUGGACUCUGGCUCUUCUAAAUAAAGUUCUGCAUAACAAUUA